rnacentral:rRNA from 1 species
GAUGAACGCUGGCGGCGUGCCUAAUACAUGCAAGUCGAGCGAACAGACGAGGAGCUUGCUCCUCUGACGUUAGCGGCGGACGGGUGAGUAACACGUGGAUAACCUACCUAUAAGACUGGGAUAACUUCGGGAAACCGGAGCUAAUACCGGAUAAUAUAUUGAACCGCAUGGUUCAAUAGUGAAAGACGGUUUUGCUGUCACUUAUAGAUGGAUCCGCGCCGCAUUAGCUAGUUGGUAAGGUAACGGCUUACCAAGGCAACGAUGCGUAGCCGACCUGAGAGGGUGGUCGGCCACACUGGAACUGAGACACGGUCCAGACUCCUACGGGAGGCAGCAGUAGGGAAUCUUCCGCGAUGGGCGAAAGCUUGACGGAGCAACGCCGCCUGAGUGAUGAAGGUCUUCGGAUCGUAAAACUCUGUUAUUAGGGAAGAACAAAUGUGUAAGUAACUAUGCACGUCUUGACGGUACCUAAUCAGAAAGCCACGGCUAACUACGUG